rnacentral:rRNA from 1 species
GAUGAACGCUGGCGGCGUGCCUAAUACAUGCAAGUCGAGCGAACAGACGAGGAGCUUACUCCUCUGACGUUAGCGGCGGACGGGUGAGUAACACGUGGAUAACCUACCUAUAAGACUGGGAUAACUUCGGGAAACCGGAGCUAAUACCGGAUAAUAUGUUGAACCGCAUGGUUCAAUAGUGAAAGACGGUUUUGCUGUCACUUAUAGAUAGAUCCGCGCCGCAUUAGCUAGUUGGUAAGGUAACGGCUUACCAAGGCAACGAUGCGUAGCCGACCUGAGAGGGGGAUCGGCCACACUGGAACUGGGACACGGUCCAGACUCCUAAGGGAGGCAGCAGUAGGGAAUCUUCCGCAAUGGGCGGAAGCCUGGCGGAGCAACGGCGCGUGGGUGAAGAAGGUCUUCGGAUCGUAAAACUCUGGUAUUAGGGAAGAACAAAUGUGGAAGUAACUAUGCACGUCUUGACGGUACCUAAUCAGAAAGCCACGGCUAACUACGUG